AUUGAACGCUGGCGGCAGGCCUAACACAUGCAAGUCGAACGAAGCCUUCGGGCUUAGUGGCGGACGGGUGAGUAACACGUGGGAACGUACCUUUUGGUUCGGAACAACUCAGGGAAACUUGAGCUAAUACCGGAUGAGCCCUUCGGGGGAAAGAUUUAUCGCCAUUAGAGCGGCCCGCGUUAGAUUAGCUAGUUGGUGAGGUAAAGGCUCACCAAGGCUACGAUCUAUAGCUGGUCUGAGAGGAUGAUCAGCCACACUGGGACUGAGACACGGCCCAGACUCCUACGGGAGGCAGCAGUGGGGAAUCUUGCGCAAUGGGCGAAAGCCUGACGCAGCCAUGCCGCGUGAAUGAUGAAGGUCUUAGGAUUGUAAAAUUCUUUUACCAGGGACGAUAAUGACGGUACCUGGAGAAAAAGCCCCGGCUAACUUCGUGCCAGCAGCCGCCGUAAUAC
rnacentral:rRNA from 1 species